AUUGAACGCUGGCGGCAGGCCUAACCCAUGCAAGUCGAACGAGUGGCGGACGGGUGAGUAAUGUCUGGGAAACUGCCCGAUGGAGGGGGAUAACUACGGGAAACGGUAGCUAAUACCGCAUACCCUCGGAUGUGCCAAGAUGAGAUGAGCUUGUAGGGGGGGUAACGGCGCACCUAGGCGACGAUCCCUAGCUGGUCUGAGAGGAUGACAAGCAACACUGGAACUGAGACACGGUCCAGACUCCUACGCGAGGCAGCAGUGGGGAAGAUUGCACAAUGUGCGCAAGCCUGAGGCAGCCAUGCCGCGUGUAUGAAGAAGGCCUUAGGGUUGUAAAGUACUGUCAGCGAGGAGGCGUUACGCGCAGAAGAAGCACCGGCUAACUCCGUGCCAGCAGCCGCGGUAAUUC
rnacentral:rRNA from 1 species